GACAAAGGCAAGAGGUUUCCUUUGCCAGCCAUGGUGGUAUCUCACAGCUUCUGAUGCUAUGCAGGCUGCCAAAGAAGGACUCAUUGCUGCUGCAGAGCUCCUGAGGUGGAGGGAGCUCAAAGACCUGGUGCAGACACAACAGACAUGGAGGAUUGGGGUGGCCACGCAGCACCUGAGGGACCAAAGCAUGCCUAUGUGGAUGAGAUCUGCAGCACCCUUCAGCCCUUGCAGACAGACAGCAAUGAAAUCGUCUCUUGCCUGGCAACUCAGACCAUCUUGAUCCUGAGGGCUUUAAAUCCCUAAAAACCAAGAUUCAAUCUAUGUACAUUGCUCUUCUGGCAUCACUGAGCCAGCUGGAGGACAGCUGUGAUUUAAUAAAUCUGAAACAAUAGGUCCAAACCCAUGGUGUCCUUCAGAUGCGCAGCAUCCUGAGCAGACUGCAUCCCGCUUGGCCUGUACCACUGCCUGCAGGACAACUUCCCCUCAGCACACCCACAGGCCCAGGCUUUUUUGAGAAGUUGACCCCUUGCUGAGGCUUUUCCCAGGAGAAGCCUCAUUUGUCUCUCCUCAGGGCAGUACCC